UCCUGAAGAAGGAAAGGUUUCCAUCCAAGC
rnacentral:piRNA from 1 species